ensembl:lncRNA
AGGUUAAUAUUUAGAGCAAAUUUAUUAAAUGAAUGGGAUUUUUCCAGCAUGGGAUUUUUAAAAUUAAUUUAUCAAUCCCUUGCCUGGCAGUGCUAGAAGAGACAAAAGGGAAUGUGUCUGUAGCGUUGAGUUUUAUUUCAGAGAGAUUUUUUUUUUCCCACUUUUUUGGGGGGGGGAGAAAGGCUCACCUUACAGCAUCACUUCUAGCUGUUCUGUGGCACUGCACAGGAUGCUAUGUGCCCUGACCUGCCCAUGCCGCGUGGUGCCUCGCCACGCCAGGCCAGGAGCCGGGCUGGGAGCUGCGGGUUUGGGUUUGUGCGUUGGCAGUGCGAUGGAUUCCUAAAGCAUCCACUUCCCCCAGCAGAGCAUGCAGUUAAUGCCUCUGGGGGGGUUGACAAUGUAUGACUUGCUUCUUGUUGCUGUUUUAAAAAUAACCCAGCAGCAUCCCCACGCCCCAAACACUACCAAGUGUGGGGAGCAGCACACCUGAAGCCGAGGCUUUUGGCACGGCCUGCCUGCACAGGGAUGCUGCCGAGUCCCCUGUCUGCAGCCUCGCGAUGGCAAACCCUGUGCUGGGAGCUGCAAGGCACCGGGCUGCUUCUGAUAGAUCUGCUUGUAGCAGGCAUAGGCACCGCUUCGUCAGAAGGGUGACAGCUCAUCAUUAGCCAGUUCGGUCACAUAUGUUACGGCGGUGAGCGAUGUUUGAUCAAGUGAAGCUCAAGGUAAGACAUGAAGAAAUAGGUUGUAAAGCAUGCUUUGUUAAUACAAAACAGAGAGGUGGCUCCCUGGCAUCUAAUGCAAACAUCUAAUAGCUCUUAUUUUAUCCUCAUCUCCCAAAAUGUGCUAAGCCUAAGUGGAAGCAGCUGCUUCCUGCGCAGAGAGAGAGCCGGCCCCAGCCCCGCGCUCAAUUAGCUGCGUUGUGCCUCCCAGUGCUGCAUUACGGCCGCUCCUCCGUCAGAGGCAUUAGCAAACGUGGUGCUGUAAUGAAUUUGCAAACGGGGCUGCCAGUGGCCCCGGCGCAGGAAUGCAGUGGGGCUGCACUGGGCCAGGUGUAUGAGGCGGGGGAGGAAGGCUGCUCCAGGCUGGGUUUUGCAAUUAGGCCGCGUGGUGUAACUCUUUUGUUUCGCAGAAGGCAGCUUUAUUAAUUGAUGUAGAAGGUUGCUGCGCGCUAUUCAUUGUUUGAUUAAAAUGCCUGUAUAAAUAAUUAGGCCUCUUCUGUUUGUUUUAUUUUUGCACCCAAUUUGCAUUUUCAUGCAGAAUGAAAAUGAAUUAGCAAAUAUAUUUAUUUUCCAAAUUUUUUAACCCGUCGCGGCUCUCCCGUGGUCAGCCAUCACUGGUCCAGAGCCCAGCAGCUCUGCUCUUCCUUUGUGUGCUUGGAGGAUGUUGGGGCAUGUGAUAGGGGGAUCCCAGGAAGGAAUAACCCAGAAGCGCUGGGGUGGCCCCAGGCUGGUGGGACUCUGCUGCAGAGAGCAGCUCUCAGCCAGACCCCAAUUUGCACCCAUCGACUUCAUGGGCUGUGUGAACUGCUGGGAAUGCUGCUGUUGUGCUGCAGGGGCUGGGGCCAGGGGUGCAUCCACAGUGCCAGAGCUGCACUGCUUGGUGCAUCGGGGCCUGUCUGUCCUUGUAAAUGUAGGAAAAUCUGUCUGCUGGCAGGAAAUCCAGAACAGCGUCGUAGUCGGUAUUAAAUCUUUAUCUUAGGAUGAAAUUGCUUUGAGUUGUAAACUGGUGCACUUGAUUUCCGUGCAUUAUUUGCUCUUUCUUGAGCAAACUGCUGCAGUGCAAUGCAGAAUUCAUUGGCCAUCGGGGCUGCCCUACAGACGUGGGUCAUCUGCACCAGGCAUGGUUCUUCCCUCAGGCACGUGCAGCUGCUUUUCCACGUUGGAUCAGGUGUGCACCCUUUCAAUGAAGCUGAGCACAGCUCACAUCCUGUAUGAUUCAUGAUGGACAGAUCCAUUUGCCAUGGUGUUUCCCUCCCUUCCCUGGCAGCACAGGCUGAGUGCUCACCCCCUGAGUGCAGGGAGAACCACUCGCUCCCUGCUGCUGGGCAGUGCUGGGCUGGGAGGAGCUGUGCCGGGCAGCAGAGCAGGCUGCAGGACUUGUGCCUGUUUGCUGCUGGCAGUGACUGUGCUUUGGGAGGAUGGGAAUGAUGAUGCAUGCCUGCUGGUUUUGUGCUGCUUAAAACCUCCGUAGCAAGCUGGGGUCUUUAAAUCGGUGCCCUCAAUGUUGAUCUCUGUUUUUCCACUUGCAAAGACAAAAAUUAGAAGUGAAAAACAUAUGACUCUUGGAUCGUGAGGGGUGUCUGGUGUUGUUGUGCAUGGCCUGAGCAUUACACCCAACGUCACCUCUGCCCCAGGAGCGGUGUGGGGGAAGCUGGGUGGGUUCUCAUCUCCCACAGUGCUGCUCUGCAGCCCCACACAGGUGCUGGAGGAUCUGGCCUUUGGCAGCCGUGGCUGAUGGUCCCUUCUGGAAGGGCUGGGCCAACAGCGCGCGUCCUCAAGUUUUUCCAGGCGUGGAUCGAUAGGCAAGCACAGUUUAACAGCAGCUGCAACAACAACAACACAGAAAGCUUGCUCUGUGCGGCUGGUCCCCGGGGAGAAGCAGAGAAUUGUCCUCGUAAUAAGAGAGGCUCAGUUUGGAGUAAGUAGCUCUCCCUGGGAAACUCAGGAGCAGGGGCAGGCAGCAACAGAAAGCAGUGCUGUUGGGCUCUCACUCAGCCAAGCUCUGGUGUGGCGCUCCCCACUCUGGGUCAUGGCAGUGGCAGCUCCGUGCUAUGGGAACAGAUCCAAAGGAAGGGCAGAGCUGGAGCCUCCUACCUCGAGGUGUGCAGAACUGCAUGGCCGGGAGCUGCUCAGGCAGGAUUCACAGCAGCAUCACACUCCUGUGCACAGUGUGACUGUGCUGAGCUGUGGCCGUGGUGGCAACCUGCUCUGCGUAGCGCUGCCAGAGGCUUUUCCUCACUCCACCAUCUCCCGAGAAGCCCUCUCCUCACCUUGCAUGGGAUGCAGUGAGAUCUGCAUGGGGCAGGCACUGCUCUCGGCACCUUGUGCCCAUUGAAUGUGGCCAAUCCCAGUCUGCAGUGGUUCCUUUUCUGGCUGCAUGUGAAGGCUCCAGAUCCCCCUGACUCCUCGUGGAGGUGGAAGAUGGCCAUAGACUGCGGUGCUUUGAAAGCAUGUGGCCACAGGGGCCGAUCUUGAGAGAUGCCCACACAUUGCUGCUCUCGCUGGUCCCUUCAGCAGCCCUGCCUCUGCCAGCCCACAUUAUCCUCUGCCAGAGCCCGGUUAUUUUCCCAGAGAAUGGGAUUAAACUCCAAACAGAUCCUUGUGCCUCCUGGCUGACGUUUGCUGCCUGCUGCCAGCUUGCUUCUUGUGUUGUGGGGUUGCAGUGUGCACCAGCAACUCAGUGCAGCACAGAGACUGGUAGUAGGAGCUAUGCACAUCUCCCCCAUGCUCUAGGGGAUGCUGCAGGAUUUUCUCUUUUCCUUGUGGCUCAGAACUUGUGUUUCUUUGCUGAAAUUUCCUUGUGGCAUGCCAAGAAGCUGGUGAGUGCUGUACAAGUGCUGGACACGUGUUGCUGUGUGCGGCCACCCAAGUCAGCUCUGGCUGUUGUUGAGCUGCUGCUGUCCUUACUCUGCAGUGCUAUUCCAGUGAAAUCAUAGCAUUCAGGGUUUGGAUCCAACAUUACAUUUCUUUUUCCCCCACCAGAAUGCUGCAUCCUCUAUUUAUUCCUUUUGCAUUCUCUGCCAAACACAGGGUAGUCAAUGGGUGGAAUUUUUUGCAAGAAAUUCAGAAAAAUUCAGACUUUUAAAUUAAAAAAAAAAAAAGCAACAACUUGAGAACACAGCUUUAAGAAUGUGCGUGUGUCUCUGAGUGAGUUGUAAUGCACACAGCCAAAUCCAAGUGAUCCCACCCUCCCUUUUUCCUGUCACUUACAUGCAGCCAGCCGCAAUGAGCCAGCCCAGCACUCUCUGUAGUAAAGGUGAGUGCUGGGGCUGCAUGGACAGGACCAUGCCCAGCAGGGCUGUGGCACAAUAUGGUAUAUGGUGUGUGAGGUGCACGUGGCAACCUGGAUUGGUUUGCCCAGAGAGGUGGUGUUGCCCCAUGUGGUGCCCUUGAGACGCUCAAGGUUGGCCUGGACAGGGCUCUGAGCACCUGAUGGUGCUAUAGGUGUCCCUGCUCAUUGCAGGGAGGUUGGACCAGAUGACCUUUAAUGGCCCGUUCAUGUUCAAAUGAUUCUAUUAUUUGAUGUCCAUUGUUGUGAAAAUGCAUAUUUUGCAUAAAAUUGUAUGGGAUGGAUCAAGUGUUCAUUUUACUAUGUAUGUUGCUGUGUUCGUGAGCUUUCCAAAUAACUUUCUGCAUGUGUAGUGGGCUCCUCGCUGAGAAGGUGGCAGUCCUGAACGCUUGAGUGAAAUGUUCUCCUUGUAAAUUGAAUAGCAGGGAAACAUAAAUCUGUUUAAAG